UUUGAAAUCUGGCCCUCUAGGGGGUCCGAGUUGUAAUUUGCAGAGGGUGCUUUGGCGUUGGCAGCGGUCUAAGUUCCUUGGAACAGGACGUCACAGAGGGUGAGAAUCCCGUACGUGGUCGCCAGCCUUCGCCGUGUAAAGCCCCUUCGACGAGUCGAGUUGUUUGGGAAUGCAGCUCUAAAUGGGAGGUAAAUUUCUUCUAAAGCUAAAUACUGGCCAGAGACCGAUAGCGCACAAGUAGAGUGAUCGAAAGAUGAAAAGCACUUUGGAAAGAGAGUCAAAAAGCACGUGAAAUUGUUGAAAGGGAAGCGCUUGCAGCCAGACUUGCCUGUAGUUGCUCAGCCGGGCUCCGGCCCGGUGCACUCUUCUGCGGGCAGGCCAGCAUCAGUUCGGGCGGCCGGAUAAAGACCUCUGUCACGUACCUCCCUUCGGGGAGGACUUAUAGGGGAGGUGAAAUGCGGCCAGUCCGGACUGAGGUCCGCGCAUCUGCUAGGAUGCUGGCGUAAUGGCUGUAAGCGGCCCGUCUUGAAACACGGACCAAGGAGUCUAACAUCUAUGCGAGUGUUUGGGUGUCAAGCCCGAGCGCGUAAUGAAAGUGAACGGAGGUGGGAACCCCUCGGGGUGCACCAUCGACCGAUCCUGAUGUCUUCGGAUGGAUUUGAGUAAGAGCAUAGCUGUUGGGACCCGAAAGAUGGUGAACUAUGCUUGAAUAGGGUGAAGCCAGAGGAAACUCUGGUGGAGGCUCGCAGCGGUUCUGACGUGCAAAUCGAUCGUCAAAUUUGGGCAUAGGGGCGAAAGACUAA
rnacentral:rRNA from 1 species